rnacentral:rRNA from 1 species
UACGUAGGGUGCAAGCGUUGUCCGGAAUUAUUGGGCGUAAAGAGCGUGUAGGCGGCCCGGCAAGUCCGCCGUGAAAGUCCAGGGCUCAACCCUGGAAUGCCGGUGGAAACUGUCGGGCUUGAGUUCGGAAGAGGCGAGUGGAAUUCCUGGUGUAGCGGUGAAAUGCGCAGAUAUCAGGAGGAACACCAAUGGCGAAGGCAGCUCGCUGGGACGACACUGACGCUGAGACGCGAAAGCGUGGGGAGCAAACAGG